rnacentral:lncRNA from 1 species
CAGUCUCUCAUAUUGUAGUGAUUUUAUUUCCCACACCACGGUUUGAUUUAUUUUAUAUUCGAUUGUUCAAGAUGUUAGCUUCAGCCAGGUAUACAAUGCUUCAUAGCUUGUCUCAGGCAUUAGCAGUUGUAGAAACAAUACCAGAGAUUUGGAGAAGUACCGGUAGACCUUGUAUACCAAGAAUUAUUUUCUCA